AAGAAUUCCACUUUGAAUUUCUGACUUCAAGCUCCUCUUUCUUCUUCUCCUUGCUGCGGCAGAGAGGGUUUAGGGUGUUUUUGGGUGUGAUUUUGGUUUUAGAAGGGAAUUAGGAUGGUAUGGUGGUGCGGCAAGGAGUGGGGAUGGUGCAUGGAGGUGUAGGAUGGUGGCUAGAGGUGGAUGAAGGCUGCUGCGGCAAGGUUGGGAAGUGGCUGGAAUGGAUGAAGGCUGCGGCAAGGAGGUGUAUGGGUGAUGGUGGCUGCGGCAAGGUGGGGGAAUAAGGGUUGGAUGGUUUCUGAUUUGUGGAGAGGGAGAGAUCAUGCGGCAAGGUGUAAAACACCUAUAUAUAGGCACCUAAAACCCUAAUUAAAUCAGAUUGGGCUAGGGUUAGGUGCGGCUACCUCAAUGGACUAGGGUUAGGGUUUGUAAAAUAGGGCUUCUAGGAUGGAAAGGUGCGGCAUGGGCUUAGGGUUUAUAAUCAGAUUUUUGCAUGUGAACAAGGCCUAGGUGCGGCUGAUUAAGUGGCUAGGGUUAGGGUUUAGGUGCGACAUAGGUCCAAGAAGUAAGGAUGGGUCAUCCAAAAGCCCAAAGCCGAGAAUAGAAACUCACGAAAAUGGAAACCUCCAAGAAUAGAAACUUCCAACUUUAGAAACUUUGGUUGCCAAUUCCGAUUUAGGAAAGAUCAACCCAAAAUGGAAACUUUUAGGCUUAGCUUUCCUACUUGAAGUAGGAAACCUCAAAUCUUCAACUUCUUCAAUUCCAUCCCAACCUUGUGUUCCAAGCAUGUCCUUUUCAAUCCAAGCUCAUAUUUUGCUCCAAAAGCUCCAACUUGCAUCAUUUCAUGUAAUAUGUCCUUUAAACCUGAAAACACAUGAAAGUAGCUUAAAAGACUACUUUAACGAAGAAAACAUAACAAAGAUGCAUAAGAACUAGCUAACUAAGGCGCAUAAAUAUGCUCCUAUCAAAUUCCCCCACACUUAGCUUUUGCUAGUCCUCGAGCAAAACAAACAAAAGAAAGAAAACAAAACGAAACAAACUAACCAAAACAAAACCUAAACCUUCCAACGUUUGCCUCAGGGAUUUCCAAUGCACAUGACAUGUUAAAGAUUGCUAUCCCCACAGAUUUGAGUCAUCUUUACACAAGCACAUACUUAAUUAAAGCCACCACUUACUAGUUCACAAGUAAUCAAUUAAAACAAUGCUUUGAAUGUAGUAACAUGCCUUAGAGAAUUCCCUCAAUUCCUUACAAGAUAUACACUCUAUUUUCACUCAGAUUUUCUAACUCCACACCCUACACUAGUUAUAUGUGAGAAGAUUGAUGUAGAUAUGAAAACGAAUGCUCACAUAUAUGUUUCACAAAGAACGCAAUUUCUAGAGUUAAGAAGCAUGUUUAGAUAUGAUCUCAUGAAUGGAAUGCUACUACUUAGAUGCGAGAACCAGUGACACCAUAUGCUCAUACCAAAUUCAAACUCCACAGAUUGAAACACAUAACACUCAAGAUAGAAGUUAAGGGUUGUAAUGGGGCUCGGGGUAUUGGUUAACAAGGAAAGGAUAAGGAAAACAAACGUUCUUCAAGCGAUAGUAAGCAAGCAAUGAAAUUGAGACUUAGAAUUCACUUAGAUUGCAGAAAUUAACUUUAACACACAAGGGGGAUACUUAAACAACUCCUUAGGGUCAAAUUCAUUGUUUUGGACCCUUACUUCAACCAACAAUACUUUGGAAGUCUUUGUCUCAACUUUUCAACUCUUUUUUUCAUACUUCUCAUACUUUUUCUUCAUUUUUUUCUUUUUCCACGAAUUUUUUUUUCUUUUUUUUUUCUUUUCUUUCCACACGUGCCUAUGGCACACAAAAUCACAAAAGAAAUACUUCCCCCACACUUGUUUUCUGCCAACAUAAAUCAAAAGGAAUUCAAUUUGAAUCAUGCUUUACUAUGCUUUAAGAACAAGGUAUGGAUGGUCCUAAUCUAGGCUAGGUGAGGAUAAUGUGGGUUAACAACAACAUAGGCUAAACAAGGCUCAACGGGGUUAAACUUAAACAUAAAAUGAUAUGGGAUACACGGCAGUUUGGCUAAGGUGGUGGUAACUACACAACUUUAUCUUGAAUAUGUGUUAUGCAAAUCAAUAACAUGCUUUGAAUGAAAUGGGCAUGAGUUCUAGCAUUUGGAACUAAAUGAUGAAACGCCUUCUAAAUAGUAACCAAGCAAGGAAUAAUGAGAUCAUGCAACGACUUAGAAAACAAAGAAUGCACAGAUUUUAACUCUCCAAAUAAACGUUUAGGCUCAAGUCUCACAAGGUUGUAGCGUUAGUUUGAGUUCCUUCCUUCAAGCAUGUUACAAAAACUGAUUUUUUUCUUUUAUGAUUGCAUGUGAAUUCAUAAGUUAUAACCACAACCAAGCAUAAACAAAGAGUAAAUCAAACUUUCAUCCAUGUUAAUCACUCUCUUUAACAGUCAUGCACUUAAAAACCAAAUCCUCAUCAUUGUGUUGGAAGGUACCCUAAGACACAAACAAACACACAAAAACAACUCUUUUUGGGUUUUUAAAACAAAAUUUUCAAAUUUUUAUGUGAUUUUCGGAUUUUUACUUCAAAACACACUAAAACACACCAAAACUGCUCAAAAACACUUAAAAACAGCAAGGAACAAGUCUCCAAGUUAAGGGUGAUAAAAUCCCACGAAUUUGCAUUUAAAACACUUAGUUACCCCCCACACUUAAAUCAAACAUUGUCCUCAAUGUUUCAAGCAUAAAAUCACACUAAACAAAAAGAAACACACAAACAGCAGCUAAAACAACUAAAUAGGCAGAUUCGAAAUAAAUAACAAAGUGAAGAGUUUAGGAACGCAAAUCUGGAAUUGAAGUAAUUCCUUGGUCUUCCUUUGUUGAAUUGCAUGGGUUGCCUCCCAAGUAGCGCUUUCCUUAACGUCGUACAGCCGGACGAAAAACACAAUCAUGCCCCAUUGGAGCCCACGGCAUGGAGUGGGAUCUCCUCCACAACCUGCCCCACAAAGUUCUUGUACAUUGCAUCCUUGAACGGAAAUGGAUAGUGAUUUUUGUUGAUGGGUGCGUUGUGUUGCCUAAGGUUCAUGUUCAUGCGCCCACCAUCGGAGAUUUGCUUGGGUGCCUGCACCAAAGAAGGAAACCACCUAUCAACUUUAAUGGGAAUUGGAUUUGGACUAGGUGCCUUACCUUGGUGUUGUGAUGAAGUGGCAGCAACAUGAACUUUUUUUCUCAUGGUGUUCUCGGCCACAUUGGGUAUCUUAAGGGCAGUGGCCGUGGGGUCCUUAUGCUCUACUCCAAUUCCCUCGUCUUGCAUGGCUCUUGAUGCAACCUUUGUGUUAGGGGCUGAAUGGUCUGUCCCUAUCUUUUCUAUUGUAUCCAUAACACAACAAGAACGAACAACGUUAGGAGUCUCAAUGGAUUCAGAAAUUUUAAAACAAAUCAUAUCACCACCAAAUGCCAUAGUUACUUCUCCUUUGGCUACAUCAAUCUUGGUUUGAGCCGUUUUCAUGAAAGGCCGUCCAAGGAGAAUGGGCAAUGAAGGAGCAUGAUCUGAUUCAUCCAUCUCAAGAACAUAGAAAUCCGCCGGAAAGAUCAAAUGAUUAACCUGCACCAAAACAUCUUCCACAACUCCCUUUGGAUAUGCAUUAGAUCUAUCGGCCAAUUGUAUGAUUACACCAUCAUUUUUUAACUUGCCUAGGUUCAUAGAUGCAUAAAUUGAAUAUGGCAUAACAUUUAUGGAUGCACCUAAGUCUAACAUGGCAGAUUUGAACCUAGUAUUACCAAUGACACAAGGAAUGGUGAAACUACCCGGAUCUUUGCAUUUAGGAGGUAGUUUACGUUGUAUCAUGGCAGACACAUUCUCACUUACCUGUACCACUUCUUUCUCCCGAAAACGUUUCUUUGUUGUACAAAGCUUCUUCAAACACUUGGCGUACUUCGGGAUUUGCUUGAUUGCAUCCAAGAGAGGUAUGUUAACUUGAACCUUCCUAAAUGUCUCUAGAACAUCUUUUUCCUCCUCUUCAUUCUUGAAUUGCAAAAAUCUGCUAGGAAAGGGCACAUUGGGUGGAAUAAUGUUAGAAUUAACCAAACUUGGACUCAUCUUACCUAGGGUGGACGGAUUGGAUGGCUUAGGGGCCAUGGGUGCUUGCGGCAAAGGUGGUGCUACCUUUGCCGUGAGUGGACUUGGUGUCUCCUCUUCAUAUUUCAACGUUUCAUCCUCUUUGGGACCUGAUUUUGGUGGUGUAGGACCUACCCCAACUUCUUUUCCACUCCUUAGCAUGAUUGCAUUGGCGGUUUCAAAACCUCCUUUUGGAUUCGCAAUGGUUGAACUAGGAAGCUUUCCUUGUUCUCUAAACUGCCCAACAAACUCCGCAAUCUGCCUAAUUUGCUUCUCCAAUUGAUCUACCCUAAUGUUCGUGCUUUGCAUUGCUUGGGUUUGCUUUUCCUGCCCAUGAGUCAACUUGGUUAGUAUCUUAAGAAGUGCAUCAUUGUCUAGGGACGUACCUGAAGCAUUUGGGUCAGAUUGUGGUUGGUUUUGAUUGGGUGUGUACGGCUUGGUGAAGAACCCCGGGGGUUGUUGCCUAAAGCCUCCUUGGUUUUGAGGUUGUUGGGGCUCCCUCCACUUGAAAUUUGGGUGGUCUCUCCAACCGGGAUUAUAUGUGUUUGAAUAUGGAUCGUUCCUUGGUUGGUUGUGACCUUGAAACCCAAUUGCUUGGGAGCUUUCCCAUCCACCAUUUUCAAUCAACUGUGGACACUUUUCAGAGACAUGUCCUUGGAUGGAACAUACGCCACAUACAAUUGGUCCUUGAAUCUUCAUGCCCUCGGCCAUCUGAGACACAAGAGAAGUAAGAUUAGCCAAUUGUGAAUGAAGAUCAGAAGUUGUACUUACCUCAUGUACUUGGUGCCGUGGGGGUCCCCUUUGGCCUACUCCCUCAUAUUGUUGAGCGUUCAACGCUCGAUUAGAGAUCAAGAUCUUGGCAGCCAUGGGUGUUUUGUCCACCAAUGCUCCCCCCGCCGAAGCAUCAAGCAUUUGACGUUCUAGAGGUAGGAGACCCUCGUAGAAAUAUUGCAAAAGCAACUCCUCCUUCAUCUGAUGCUGUGGACAAGAAGCAACAAGUGAUUUAAAUCGUUCAUAAUAUGUAGGAAAAGACUCACCUUCUUCUUGCUGAAUUCCGCUUAUCUUUUUGCGUAGGAGGAUGAUGCGAGAAGUUGGAAAGAACUUCUCCAAGAACGCUCUCUUCAUACUCUCCCAAAAAGUGACAGUGCCGGGAGCUAACUCGUAUAACCAAUCCUUGGCUUUAUCCAUCAAAGAGAAUGGAAAAGCCUUCAUCUUCAAGAUACAUCCGUCAACAUUGACGGGAGUCAUACUAGAGCAAACCACUUCAAAUUCUUUCAAAUGUUUGUUAGGAUCUUCCAUGGACAAGCCAUGGUAUUUAGGAAUAUGAUGAAGCAAACUUGACUUUAAUUUAACUCGUCCGUCUUACCUUGGGCAGCCGUGGGGUAUUGGAUGCACAAAGGUGCGGCAUUAUCCAAACCUGAGGCGGAAAGCUCUUUGAGUGUAUGGUUGUCCACCGCCAUGCCUUGGACUUCUUCAAAUAUCCCUGCCGUGGCCUCCUCCUCUUCUUGUACGUUUUCUUCAAGGUCAGAUUCGGAAUUGGGUGGAUGGUGUUCUUGCUGGUUUCUAGCUCUUCUCAAUUUCCUCUCAAAGUCGUCGUCAAAAUCCAAGAUGUUCGCACGAAUCGUUUGAGAUCUUCUAGUCAUACACUAGUACCUAAGAAACAAGAAACAAAAUUAGAUCAGAAACUUAAACAAAAUCAGAAACAAAAACAAUCCAAGGGAUUAGCAAAUUUGCUAAUCCCCGGCAACGGCGCCAAAAAUUUGAUGCGAAAUUUAUUAAGCACACAAAUUAAACCCUCUUUUUGUCAAAUUGUAGCAAAGAUGUAAGUAGGGAUCGUUCUAGACUGGGGAUUAGGAGGGAUUGCUAAACACUUGGAAACUGACUUAAAAACUCAGAAACAAAGUUUAAAACACUAAACUAGACUCAAAGAAUGCAAAACUAAAGUUUAAAACACUUAAACAAACCUAAAACUCAAAACAGCAACUAGAAGGCUCAAAACUGCCUAAAAACCACUUUCUGGGCAGUUCUGAGCACCUACACUAAUUUGGACGAAAUUUGAUGAAAACUUGAAUCAAAAUACUUAGAAACACAAAUCAAAACACUUUCUAACUAAUAUAAGACUUCAAAUUAAAGGGGGAUUUUGUUUUGACGAAAAUUAAAAUAAAGAAAACAGAUUGGAAAUAGGGCAGAUUGUAAAAACGAUUUUGGUGAAAUAGAUGGAUAAAAGGCUAGUUAGGAGGUUCUUCUCCACACAUGUCACACUUGCAAACAAAACGAUUUUCAGUUGUUCUUCCAAUAAAUUAUGAAUACUCAAUGCCCCAAAUUAACCGUGAAUUGCACUAAUUAACCCUCAGUUUUUCCAUAAGUUAUCAAGUUGGAUGAUUGCAUACGACAACCCAAAACAUUCCCUACAAGUUCCCUACAUGAAUUGCAUAAUAGAGAUACAAGCAAGAAUCAUUACGUUCUAUGAAAAACAUAAGCAUUGACGAAGCAUUUGUUACUAUGAAUUGCAUGAAACUUAUGCUAAGAAUUCAUUCAACGCGAUCGUUUUCAAGCGAUCUUCACUACUUGUGAUUAUAAGAUUGUAACUAUUAGGUGAAACUCCCUCAUAAUCUAGCAUCAUAUUCAUGCAUGAAAACUAAGCGUGCACUCUCAAUCAACAUACACAAAUAAGUUAUCAAUCAAGUAGAUGAACGAAUUGAAUCCACAACUUAUGAAUAACAACUGAAUGUAAUCAAAUCAUAUUGCAAGCAUGUACAUGGUUUCGAAUCACCCCCUAACUAUGGGGGUUUAGUUCCUCAUACUCACAACAUAAAGUUUAUUGAAUUGAAACAUCGAAGACAUAAGAAAGAUUACACCUAAAACGACCAAGAAUUCCACUUUGAAUUUCUGACUUCAAGCUCCUCUUUCUUCUUCUCCUUGCUGCGGCAGAGAGGGUUUAGGGUGUUUUUUGGGUGUGAUUUUGGUUUUAGAAGGGAAUUAGGAUGGUAUGGUGGUGCGGCAAGGAGUGGGGAUGGUGCAUGGAGGUGUAGGAUGGUGGCUAGAGGUGGAUGAAGGCUGCGGCAAGGUUGGGAAGUGGCUGGAAUGGA
rnacentral:lncRNA from 1 species